AGAUACCAAAACCGCACGGUACAGGCUGUCAAAUCUCUUUUAGUAGAGUGCCUCAUCCGGCGAGUCUGAGGUAAGGG
rfam:Halanaerobium hydrogeniformans chromosome, complete genome.